UACAGAGGGUGCGAGCGUUAAUCGGAAUUACUGGGCGUAAAGGGUGCGUAGGUGGAUAUUUAAGUUAGAUGUGAAAUCCCUGGGCUUAACCUAGGAAUUGCAUUUAAGACUGGAUAUCUUGAGUUUGGGAGAGGGAAGUGGAAUUUCCGGUGUAGCGGUGAAAUGCGUAGAUAUCGGAAGGAACAUCAGUGGCGAAGGCGACUUCCUGGCCCGAUACUGACACUGAGGCACGAAAGCGUGGGGAGCGAACAGG
rnacentral:rRNA from 1 species